UCCGUGCCAAAGAUGAGGGCGUUGAUGACGCUGAGGAGCGUGACCAUGUAAGGGACGUUAUCUGUGGCCUGCAGCUCGUUCAUGAUGACGCUGAAGCGAUACUGCCGUGUCUUCAAGCCCUGAAGAGGGGAAAUCAGAGUUGAGCAUCCAGAGCCAAACGGUGACCUUCUGCAGAGAAGAUGCUGAGGGCUGCGAGGAGCUCAAACACCUGCUUUUUCACCAUGAUGUUUGAAGUGUCCAAGGCUGUGGAAUAUUGUAAUAUGUAUUAAAGUCCUCACAUUUUA